rnacentral:rRNA from 1 species
UACGAAGGGGGCUAGCGUUGCUCGGAAUCACUGGGCGUAAAGGGUGCGUAGUCGGGUCUUUAAGUCAGGGGUGAAAUCCUGGAGCUCAACUCCAGAACUGCCUUUGAUACUGAGGAUCUUGAGUUCGGGAGAGGUGAGUGGAACUGCGAGUGUAGAGGUGAAAUUCGUAGAUAUUCGCAAGAACACCAGUGGCGAAGGCGGCUCACUGGCCCGAUACUGACGCUGAGGCACGAAAGCGUGGGGAGCAAACAGG